GUGGCCAUUUUAUUUUAUUAGAGGAACCUGUUUUUUAAUCGAUAUUCCACGAUACUUUUUACUUCCGUUUAUAUCUUAUAUACCUCCAUCUUAAGGAUUAAUAUUUAUAUUCUCCCCAGAAUAGAUUUCUAGUAAGUUAGGUAAAGGUGUAGACUAUAUGGAAGAUAAAAUGGGUUACAAUAAAUAGUAUUUAAGAAUACUAAAUUAAAAUUUUUAUUGAAAAAGGAUUUAUUAGUAAAUGAAGAAUAAUAUUCUUCUUUGAACUUGAUAAACAAUGUGCACACAUCGCCCGUCGCUCUU
rnacentral:rRNA from 1 species